rnacentral:rRNA from 1 species
GCGUAUAACGCAUUUAAUUUAAUAUACAACUUUCAGCAACGGAUCUCUUGGCUCUCGCAUCGAUGAAGAACGCAGCGAAAUGCGAUAAGUAAUGUGAAUUGCAGAAUUCAGUGAAUCAUCGAAUCUUUGAACGCACCUUGCGCUCCCUGGUAUUCCGGGGAGCAUGCCUGUUUGAGUGUCAUGGAAUUCUCAACUUCUAAUACUUUUUUGUAUCAGAAGCUUGGAUUUGGAGGCUCGUGCUGGCUCUCUCGUUAGAGUCGGCUCCUCUUAAAUGAAUUAGCGUGAAUCACUAUGGAUCGCUUCGGUGUGAUAAUUAUCUGCGCCGUAGUCGUGAAGUAUUAAUAAAAGUUCUCGCUUCUAAUCGUCCUUCACGGGACAAUUAACCCUGACUUUUUGACCUCAAAUCAGGUAGGACUACCCGCUGAACUUAAGCAUAUCAAUAAGCGGAGGAAAAGAAACUAACAAGGACUCCCCUAGUAACUGCGAGUGAAGCGGGAAAAGCUCAAAUUUAAAAUCUGGUAGCCUUCGGUUGCCCGAGUUGUAGUCUGGAGAAGCGUCUUCCGCGC